UCGAGAAUCUUCCGCAAUGGACGAAAGUCUGACGGAGCGACGCCGCGUGCGGGAUGAAGGCCUUCGGGUUGUAAACCGCUGUCAGAGGGGAGCAAAUUUUGAGCGAUCCUCAAAGGAAGCACAGGCUAAGUUCGUGCCAGCAGCCGCGGUAAUACGAACUGUGCAAACGUUAUUCGGAAUCACUGGGCUUAAAGGGUGCGUAGGCGGGUUUAAAGGUCUGAUGUGAAAGCCCACGGCUCAACCGUGGAAUUGCGUUGGAAACCAUGAACCUUGAGGGAGUCAGAGGUAAGCGGAACUGAUGGUGGAGCGGUGAAAUGCGUUGAUAUCAUCAGGAACACCGGUGGCGAAAGCGGCUUACUGGGACUCUUCUGACGCUGAGGCACGAAAGCUAGGGGAGCGAACGGG
rnacentral:rRNA from 1 species